GACGAACGCUGGCGGCGUGCUUAACACAUGCAAGUCGAACGGAAAGGCCCUGCUUUUGUGGGGUGCUCGAGUGGCGAACGGGUGAGUAACACGUGAGUAACCUGCCCUUUACUUUGGGAUAACUUCAGGAAACUGGGGCUAAUACCGGAUAGGAGCUCCUGCUGCAUGGUGGGGGUUGGAAAGUUUCGGCGGUUGGGGAUGGACUCGCGGCUUAUCAGCUUGUUGGUGGGGUAGUGGCUUACCAAGGCUUUGACGGGUAGCCGGCCUGAGAGGGUGACCGGCCACAUUGGGACUGAGAUACGGCCCAGACUCCUACGGGAGGCAGCAGUGGGGAAUAUUGCACAAUGGGCGGAAGCCUGAUGCAGCAACGCCGCGUGCGGGAUGACGGCCUUCGGGUUGUAAACCGCUUUCGCCUGUGACGAAGCGUGAGUGACGGUAAUGAGUAAAGAAGCACCGGCUAACUACGUG
rnacentral:rRNA from 1 species